GAAAGUGGAAGCAGAGUUGCAGCGUUCAGAUAAUUUCCGUGUAUCUUUUCUCUCCAGAAAAACGUGCUGUUCUGUUUUAGUAGAUAACUGCUUGUUUGAAAGAAUUUGUAUUCUUCUCCAAUACCGGUAGAACGAGGAAAAGAAGUGGAAUACGUUUGCAUUCGCCGUUUUCCUCCUCAAAUGUUUCUUCGUUCGAAAUGGAAUUAUUUUGUUUUAGAAUACGUGGAAUCUGUUUAUUAUUGCUAGUAGUUUUUCAUAUAUCUUAAACUUCUUGUUCUAGUAAAAGAACACAAAUUGUGAAUAUAUCAACUGCAUGAAUAAGUGAAAAAAAAUCGUUUGCGAAUUUUUCGAUUCUGAUUGAUUUUGUCUAAGAUAAAAUACUUUUUAUUGGUUAAAAAAAACCUACUGUUGUUUUCAGCAACUACCAACUGACAGAAAAAUAUUCCAUCGGCGAAGAGAAAAACUGUUUCAAAUAUGCUGUUAAAAUAUUUAGACAAAGUGAACUGAAAUAUAUAGACUUGAAAAGAGAAUACAUGCUUCAAAUUUGUGCAAGAAAAUAGUGAACUGAUGAACUAUAUAGCUAAUACUGUUCCGGACGCCUCGGAGAAAUCAUCCUGUACUGAAGCGGAAGAAUAUUUCUUUAUGAAUUAAAGAAAAAGGUCUGACUCCAAUCAUCAAUAUAGUGAUCUAAAUGGUAUGCUCGUCACUGAAGAUGUCAAACCAACUGAAAAAUGUUACCGGAAAGAUAAAAGAAAAAUGCAAAACAACAAAAAAAAGAAAAUGAUACAACAAUUGCAAAAGAUGAAAAAUUGAAGAAUGAAGUCAUUUAAUGAGAAUUUAUUGAUUGCAAAUGCAUUCAUAAUAUACGAUGCCUGACUGACUCACAAAUCAAGAAUCCUGGUAAAAGUUGAGGUUGGACAUUUAAAAUGCUUUCUUAAAAAUUUCAAUUUUUAAAUUUUUG